UACGUAGGGGGCAAGCGUUGUCCGGAUUUAUUGGGCGUAAAGAGCGUGUAGGCGGCCUGAAAGGUCAGCUGUGAAAACUCGAGGCUUAACCUCGAGACGUCGGUUGAAACCAUCUGGCUAGAGUCCGGAAGAGGAGUGUGGAAUUCCCGGUGUAGCGGUGAAAUGCGCAGAUAUCAGGAAGAACACCCGUGGCUAAGGCGGCUCUCUAGUACGGUACUGACGCUGAGACGCGAAAGCGUGGGGAGCGAACAGG
rnacentral:rRNA from 1 species